rnacentral:tRNA from 2 species
GGCACGAUGGCGAAGCUGGUUAACGCGGCGGUCUGCAAAACCGCUAUGCGCGGGUUCAAAUCCCGCUCGUGCCU